GUCCUUUUGAUUAUAAUUUAAGGUCUGACCUGCCCACUGAAAUUAUUUUAAAUGGCCGCAGUAAUUUGACUGUGCAAAGGUAGCAUAAUCAUUAGUUUUUUAAUUAAAAGCUUGUAUGAAGGGUUGGACGAGAUAAAAUCUGUCUCUAUUUAAUUUAAUAUAAAAUUUAAUUUUUAAGUUAAAAAGCUUAAAUUUUUUUAAAAGACGAGAAGACCCUAUAGAUCUUUAUAGUUUUGAUUUUGAAUUUAAUUAAUAAAUUUUUAUGAUUUAUAAUUUAAACUAUUUUAUUGGGGUAAUAGAAAGAUUAAAAUAAUUCUUUUUUUCUUUAAACAUUUAUUUAUGUUUUUAAUGAUCCAAUUUUAUUGAUUAUAAGAUUAAGUUACCUUAGGGAUAACAGCGUAAUUUUUUUAGAGAGUUCUUAUCGAUAAAAAAGUUUGCGACCUCGAUGUUGGAUUAAAGAUUAGUUUAGGUGUAGAAGUUUAAAUUUUUGGUCUGUUCGACCAUUAAAUCUUUACAUGAUCUGAGUUCAGACCGGCGUAAGCCAGGUCGGUUUCUAUCUUUAAUAAUUUUAAAAUAUUUUAGUACGAAAGGACCAAAUAUUUAAUAUAUUUAUAUUUAAUUUUUUGAAUAUUAUUAAAAAUUAUUUUGGCAGAAUAGUGCAAUGAAUUUAGAAUUCAUAAAUGUAAUUUUAUUACAAAUAAUACUUGUUUUUUUUAGAUGUAAUUUUUUCUUUAGUAUGUAUAUUUUUAUUAAUUAUUUGUUUUU
rnacentral:rRNA from 1 species